rnacentral:rRNA from 1 species
GGCGGGCUAUCUGCAGUCGAGCGGAAGAAGGGAGCUUGCUCCCGGAUGUUAGCGGCGGACGGGUGAGUAACACGUGGGUAACCUGCCUGUAAGACUGGGAUAACUCCGGGAAACCGGAGCUAAUACCGGAUAGUUCCUUGAACCGCAUGGUUCAAGGAUGAAAGACGGUUUCGGCUGUCACUUACAGAUGGACCCGCGGCGCAUUAGCUAGUUGGUGAGGUAACGGCUCACCAAGGCGACGAUGCGUAGCCGACCUGAGAGGGUGAUCGGCCACACUGGGACUGAGACACGGCCCAGACUCCUACGGGAGGCAGCAGUAGGGAAUCUUCCGCAAUGGACGAAAGUCUGACGGAGCAACGCCGCGUGAGUGAUGAAGGUUUUCGGAUCGUAAAGCUCUGUUGUUAGGGAAGAACAAGUGCAAGAGUAACUGCUUGCACCUUGACGGUACCUAACCAGAAAGCCACGGCUAACUACGUGCCAGCAGCCGCGGUAAUACGUAGGUGGCAAGCGUUGUCCGGAAUUAUUGGGCGUAAAGGGCUCGCAGGCGGUUUCUUAAGUCUGAUGUGAAAGCCCCCGGCUCAACCGGGGAGGGUCAUUGGAAACUGGGAAACUUGAGUGCAGAAGAGGAGAGUGGAAUUCCACGUGUAGCGGUGAAAUGCGUAGAGAUGUGGAGGAACACCAGUGGCGAAGGCGACUCUCUGGUCUGUAACUGACGCUGAGGAGCGAAAGCGUGGGGAGCGAACAGGAUUAGAUACCCUGGUAGUCCACGCCGUAAACGAUGAGUGCUAAGUGUUAGGGGGUUUCCGCCCCUUAGUGCUGCAGCUAACGCAUUAAGCACUCCGCCUGGGGAGUACGGUCGCAAGACUGAAACUCAAAGGAAUUGACGGGGGCCCGCACAAGCGGUGGAGCAU